GAGACUGACAUUCAAUCACUAGGUGGCGUAUCGCGAUAGAAUGCUUCUCUCUCAUUGGUUAGAUUUUUAGUAGAAGAAAGAGGGACAAAAUGGCGAAGAAAACACCAAGAACUUGCUCAAGAAAAACAACAGAGAUGAGAAGAUCUUUUGACUCUACACAGAAGAAAGGCACCCCAAACGACAGAUUAGAUACAGAUAUCCAUGGAACAAAUCAUCUGAAAACUAAGAGAGGAUGAAGAAUACUUCUAUUAAAAAGUUGAAGUAACUGAUGAGCAGAUCAAUCCAACUUGAACAUGAUAUCAUUUCUCCAAGGAUGAAAACAAGUCUCUCUGUACUCAAGCAUUGAUAUUUUUAAAGUCAACUGAAACUGGAACAGGUCAUACAUGCAGACUACAGUGAUGUGUUGCACAGUUCUGAAAACAAGCAGCCACCACUAGCAUAAGCAUGAUAAGUG